CUCGGUUCCUUUCUCUAAAAGAAUCCUCUUUUUAAGUGCCUCUCGAUAGAUAAUGAUGCUAAACUAGAUGAGGCAAAUGAUAAAUUGAAGAAAAAAGGAUUUAAGGAAAAACUGGUGAGAUUUCAAUGAACACCCACUAUUUAGCCAGUAUCAAGUAUUAAUUUAAUGUGCGUUGUUUACUAGUAACUGCUGUAUACCAUUCACUUACAUAUCCUUAACUUACGACUCAUGAAUUCUGAUAAAGAUAUGAAAUCAGAGGCUGAAGAAGAGGAUGUGCUAAAUGUCCGAUUUAAAUCUAUUUUUAAAAACCUAAAAACGUUCUCGUUGAUUUUAUAAUAUUUCAGAUCAAUGCGGCGCACGCAAUCUGACAAUACAAUUGGCUAUGUGCAAUUGAAGCGGGAGGGCAGGCUCUGCCACGUAAUUGCCAAUUCUGAGGAUAAAAUUCAAGAAGGUACGUACCGGGCUCACUGUAAGGUGGAUGAAGGUGGAAAGUAUUCAACUAUUCAGGCAGCUUACUGUGAGGAUUGCGCAGCAUCUCAAGGAGGAAAUUGCAAACAUGCAAUUGCUUUUGGUGACUUAGUUACAUCGAAGAAGUGAGGAGCCGUCGAUCACCGAAAAGCACUGCAAUUGGAACAUAUCAUGGCUCUCCGAAGAUGGGACAAGCUUCAUGACAACAGCAGAGAUUGUGAGAGAGACGGGAAAGUCGAAGAGAUGAAAAACGCAAAAAUCAAAACAGCAGAUAAAACCUAAAAAAGCUAAGAGUGCAAUCACACCUGCGGAUAAAACGUUUGCUAAAGAGCUUGCUUCGACUUAAAAGACAAGAGUGGUAAAUAUGUUCUUACUUUUUGUAUACUUCAUUUACUCUGUGGCAUAUUGACACAGUAUUCAUUGAUUUUAUAAAAAGGAAAAAGCAAAAAAACUUCAACUUUUAGUGGAAGAGAUCCCGUAAAAGCGUUUUUUUUUGCGAUACAUCCUACUUCGGACAAACUCUUUAAUUAAGGAGAUGUUGGAUUUGCUCUGAAAUAUGUCUGAACUUUCAAAGUUUCUACACAACGCACAUACACUCAUAAACACUCAUUGUUAAAUGGAAGUUUUAGAGGAGAAGCAUCUUAAGGAGAAGCAUCUUGAGGAUGAAAGGCAAGAGAUUUAUGCAAUUUGAAGAGAGUCAAGAGAAGGAUCACGCAAGGAACAAAAGAGUGCGUGAGAUCAUGAACGCCAAGCAGAACAUCGUACAUGGAAUCAUGACCAAACAGCUUGUCUGGUAUGGUCAUUUUCAACGAAUGGCGGUUAAUAGGUUGCCUAGAUUGGAUUCCUCUUCGGAGAAGACGCAGGGGACGUCCAGCAAAAUCGUGGAUAGGUGGCAUUCAAGAUGAAAUCACAAGAUGCCAUUUACCAGAUGACCUCUGGAUCGAUAUGCAAGGAUGGCGAUUAGGUGUCGCAGAGCGCCCGGGCGCGCUGUAAAGCGACUCGAAUGUAUGUAUCUUGAGGAUGAAACUACGAAACCUUGCAUCUCGUUUUGCGACGUGGGGGAUAUUUCAGGUCCAAAGACGCAACUGCUUCUGUCAUACUGAAAUCGUCUACACAAAUGUAGUUCCUUAUCCAUUUUGCUGAAGUAAUAUAAUUUUUAUCUUACUCCUCUCAUCAAAGGAAUAUUUUGUUUUGAAAUCAGGUGAAUUUUGACCUUCUUUCAUUAAGAUACAAGUUUUUGUACAUGGUUCCACUACCAAUACAAGUCCCAGAUCUUUAUGCGUUUCUCUCUCCCAUCGCUUGAAUUUAAGGUUUCUAUUUUUCAAGAGUUCAUAAUAUAAUGAUGCAGAACUUAACAGCAUGACGGUUAAUGUGUUCUUAUUGCAUGCCUCAUCAUGAGUAGUUUUGGGGGGAGCUGAGGUGGAGAUAUUGCAAGCGGCCGUGAAAUGCAUCCGUUUCCACUUUUUCAUUUAUUCAUACGCGGAUGGAGAGGGGGUGGCUCUGCUCUCUCGAGUACUUGCCUAAUUGAUACUGCGUUCGUAAUAAAAAUUCUUUUUUUUAAUUUUGUAAGUAACAUCAUUUUUUACCUCUCGCCGACUCACUUGACACGGCCAUAUUUAUUUUUUAAUUCAGCUCUCCCCGGUAUUAAAUGGUAUUAUUACCGCAUAUCCCUUCAUACAUCCUAACAUCUCCAGUGCGUUUCCAUUGUUGACGAAUGUAUACCCGAAAUAAAUUAUCAGGUAUGCUGAUGUUCUUUGGAACAAUCCUACU
rnacentral:lncRNA from 1 species